UACGGAGGGGGCAAGUGUUACUCAUCAUGACUAGGCGUAAAGGGUGUUAAGAUGGCUAACGAUUGAUCUAACGGAAAAGUCAAUUGAAAUAUUGAAAAAAGUUAAAUAAACAAGUUAGCUAGAGUAGAUUGGAGAACAGAAUUACUAGUUUUUAAGGGGUAGAAUCCAACAAGAAGAUUAGGAGGAACACCAAUGGCGAAGGCAGAUCUCUGGGCCGUAACUGACGCUGAGGAGCGAAAGCAUGGGGAGCGAACAGG
rnacentral:rRNA from 1 species